AGAGGCCAGCCUCUUUCCCACUACGCACAGUAGGGCCACACAGCCCGCCCUGAUGGCGAGACCCUCCACCGGGAGCCGAUGGAGAAGGGCUGGCCACAGACUCCUGGCCCAGACCACAGAGGCCAGCGGGAGAGACAGCCCAGGGACAGAAGAGCAAGAGCACUUGAAGGAAAAGAAAAAAAAAAAGAAGAAACGAAAACCACCCUUUUUCCAAAGCAAGACUCCCUCUGUUGCUGGUGCCGCUGCUGUUGCUGUUUAGCCCCUUCAGUCAAGUCUGACUCUGUGCGACCCCGUGAACUGUGGCCCACCAGGCUCCUCUGUCCGUGGAAUUCUCCAGGCGGAUUCUUUACCACUGAGCCACCAGGGAAGUCCUCCCAGCCCUCUAUCAAGCCCUUAUUCUCUUCUAGGUCAUGUCUCAGACCACAUCAGUGCUUGCAACAGUUC
ensembl:lncRNA